rnacentral:rRNA from 1 species
GACGAACGCUGGCGGCGUGCUUAACACAUGCAAGUCGAACGGAAAGGCCCUGCUUUUGUCGGGUGCUCGAGUGGCGAACGGGUGAGUAACACGUGAGUAACCUGCCCUUGACUUAGGGGUAACUUAAGGAAACUGGGGCUAAUACCGGAUCGGCGAUCCUGCUGCAUGGUGGGGCUUGGACAGUUUCGGCGGUUGGGAAUGGACCCCCGGCUUAUCAGCUUGGUUGUGGGGUAGUGGCUUACCAAGUCUGAGCCGGGUAGCGGGCCUGAGAGGGGGACCGGCCACAUUGCGACUGAGAUGCGGCACAGACUCCUACGGGAGGCAGCAGUGGGGAAUAUUGCAUUAUGGGCGGAGGCCAGAUGCAGUAACGCCGCGUGCGGGAUGACGGCCUUCGGGUUGUAAACCGCUGUCGCAUGUGACGAAGCGUGAGUGACGGUAAUGGGUAAAGAAGCACCGGCUAACUACGUG